rnacentral:rRNA from 1 species
UUUGCCUGCUAUCUCUUACCCAUGUCUUUUGAGUACCUUCGUUUCCUCGGCGGGUUCGCCCGCCGAUUGGACAAUUUAAACCAUUUGCAGUUGCAAUCAGCGUCUGAAAAAACAUAAUAGUUACAACUUUCAACAACGGAUCUCUUGGUUCUGGCAUCGAUGAAGAACGCAGCGAAAUGCGAUAAGUAGUGUGAAUUGCAGAAUUCAGUGAAUCAUCGAAUCUUUGAACGCACAUUGCGCCCCUUGGUAUUCCAUGGGGCAUGCCUGUUCGAGCGUCAUUUGUACCUUCAAGCUCUGCUUGGUGUUGGGUGUUUGUCUCGCCUCUGCGUGUAGACUCGCCUCAAAACAAUUGGCAGCCGGCGUAUUGAUUUCGGAGCGCAGUACAUCUCGCGCUUUGCACUCAGAACGACGACGUCCAAAAGUACAUUUUUACACUCUUGACCUCGGAUCAGGUAGGGAUACCCGCUGAACUUAAGCAUAUCAAUAAGCGGAGGAA